CCUACGGGUGGCAGCAGUGAGGAAUAUUGGUCAAUGGACGAGAGUCUGAACCAGCCAAGUAGCGUGAAGGAUGACUGACCUAUGGGUUGUAAACUUCUUUUAUAUGGGAAUAAAAUGUUCCACGUGUGGGAUUUUGUAUGUACCAUAUGAAUAAGGAUCGGCUAACUCCGUGCCAGCAGCCGCGGUAAUACGGAGGAUCCGAGCGUUAUCCGGAUUUAUUGGGUUUAAAGGGAGCGUAGGUGGAUUGUUAAGUCAGUUGUGAAAGUUUGCGGCUCAACCGUAAAAUUGCAGUUGAAACUGGCAGUCUUGAGUACAGUAGAGGUGGGCGGAAUUCGUGGUGUAGCGGUGAAAUGCUUAGAUAUCACGAAGAACUCCGAUUGCGAAGGCAGUUCACUGGACUGCAACUGACACUGAGGCUCGAAAGUGUGGGUAUCAAACAGGAUUAGAUACCCUUGUAGUC
rnacentral:rRNA from 1 species